UACGUAGGGUGCAAGCGUUGUCCGGAAUUAUUGGGCGUAAAGAGCUCGUAGGCGGUCUGUCGCGUCGGCUGUGAAAUCCCGGAGCUCAACUCCGGGUCUGCAGUCGAUACGGGCAAACUGGAGUACUGCAGGGGAGACUGGAAUUCCUGGUGUAGCGGUGAAAUGCGUAGAUAUCUGGAGGAACACCGGUGGCGAAGGCGGGUCUCUGGGCCAUUACUGACGCUGAGGAGCGAAAGCGUGGGGAGCGAACAGG
rnacentral:rRNA from 1 species